rnacentral:lncRNA from 1 species
GUCGGGGAGCAUGCCUGUGGUGGCCAGAAGAGCGCACUGGAUGGCCUGAACAGGAGACAGGCUGCCGUGAGCCACUCUGUCAGGUGCUGUGGACAGAAGUAGAUCCAUACACAUUCUUAACCAAACUCUCUCCAGCCCCCAAUCUUUAAUAGUUUAAUAAGCGUUUAGGCACGUCAGCAUAGCAGGUAAGACUUGAGACAAGAGGACAACUUUGGUUACUGGUGGCAACACAGGAAGCAGACUUGGGGUCUUCUGUCACGACAGAAGAUUUUAAGGUCUCUAAGCGAGUCCUGCAUGAGGGUGCACACCUGUAACCCCAACACUUGAGAGGUGAUGACAGUCAGGAGUUCAUGUUCGCUCCUAGCUACAUCACUAGUUAGAGGCCAGCUAGGGCUACAGAUCUUGUCUCAGAAAGCCAGUCUCUCUCUUUCCUUUAGGUCACCACACCACCCACAUUGAGAAAAAAAAAAAGACUGAAAUUACGGGGCCAUGUUAGCCACAGCUAUAGCCCCAUUGGUAAGCAGUGGAGGUGCCCUAGGGGAAGAGAGAUGCUUAGUGGCAUGCUUUACCACAGGAUUAACCUUGGAGGAGCCAAGGCGAUUAAGGGUGCUGGAGAGCAUGUUUCCUAGUGACUCGAAGCCACACAGAAGGUUCAUUAAAGUUAACAUUCUUUUUAAAGUAAAUAAAUCUUUUUUAAAAAAGUAUUCUUUUACUGGGGUUGGGGAUUUAGCUCAGCGGUAGAGCGCUUGCCUAGGAAGCGCAAGGCCCUGGGUUCGGUCCCCAGCUCCGAAAAAAAGAACC